rnacentral:rRNA from 1 species
UACGUAGGGUGCAAGCGUUGUCCGGAAUUAUUGGGCGUAAAGAGCUCGUAGGCGGUUUGUUGCGUCGGCUGUGAAAUCCCGAGGCUCAACCUCGGGUCUGCAGUCGAUACGAGCAAACUAGAGUGUUGCAGGGGAGACUGGAAUUCCUGGUGUAGCGGUGAAAUGCGCAGAUAUCAGGAGGAACACCGGUGGCGAAGGCGGGUCUCUGGGCCACUACAGACGCUGAGAAGCGAAAGCAUGGGGAGCGAACAGG